rnacentral:lncRNA from 1 species
GUAUUUGAAUCUUUCCCACUACCCCAUCCCCACCCUGUUAACAUUUCCCCUGACUCCAGCUGAAACAAACCUUGGUGAGGGGAGGACUAGGGCCCCACUACCCCUCAAGCCUUUUUGUACAAUUGAUCUUUCUCCCUCCUCUGCCCUGAGCUGUCUGUUCUCCCAUCUCCCAUGGAGACCUGUUCCUGACCUGUCUUCUUUCAGAUGCGGAAGGCGUGAGUGCCCUGGGAUGGCUGCUGGAUCAGUACUUAGAACAGAGAGAGACCUCUCGGAACCCCUUGAGUCGAGCAGCGUCCUUUGCUUCUCGAGUUCGUCGCCUUUGCCACUUGCUGGUGCAUGUGGAACCUCCUCCUGGGCCUUCUCCUGAGCCAUCCACUCGGCCCUUCAGCAAGAACAGCAAGGGUCGGGACCGGAGCCCGGCGCCUUCGCCAGUGCUUCCAAGCAGCAGCCUGAGGAACAUAACCCAGUGCUGGCUGAGCGUGGUGCAGGAGCAGGUCAGCAGAUUCCUGGCUGCAGCUUGGAGGGCCCCAGACUUUGUGCCUCGUUACUGUAAACUCUAUGAGCACUUGCAGAGAGCAGGCUCCGAGCUGUUUGGGCCUCGGGCAGCCUUCAUGCUGGCUCUGCGCAGUGGCUUCUCUGGCGCCUUGCUGCAGCAGUCCUUCCUCACUGCUGCUCAC